CCAGCUUCAUAAUCAAACAACAAACCAACAAUGAAAACAUGAUCGGGUCCUUUCUACUGCAAACACCAUCUUCGUUCGCAGAGAAAGAGUUUUCUCCUCCAUAUUUGUACAAAGGUGAAAUACUAUAGUUUAUAUGAUUAAUCAGCAUGAAACCCUUUGCAUGCAUGAACUUAGCCAUUCAGAGCCAUUAAUCCGUCAUCAACAUCAGCUUCAUCACAUUCAUCGCCAUCGAAACUACAACAUGAAGCAGCAGCUGAUAAGGCACAUUGGCGCGUGGCCAAAGAACAGCAUUCACCGGCUAUCGCUUUGGUUUCCUCCAAACCACAAACAUCCAGUUGUUUCCGGGGGACUCUUAGACCCCGGUGAGAACUCUGCAGAAUCGUUGCUGGCCGGAGAGUUGUCUGAUGGCCACCGGGCCUCGGUGCAAGUUCCGAAAGGGUUCAUUGCAGUAUACGUGGGCCCCGAGCUUCGCAGGUUUGUGAUUCCCAUGAGUUGCUUGUCGUCGCCAGAUUUUAGGGUUUUGAUGGAUAGGGUGGAAGACGAGUACGGAUUUGAGCAAGAAGGUGCACUUAGAAUUCCUUGUGAUGAAGAAGAUUUUGAGCAUAUUUUGGUCAGGUGUCUGUCAAACCAAAAGAAGAAUGAUAAGAAAAUCAGAAAACAGGUUUUGAUUAAUUAGUUUAAUUUCACAUUAUUUCCCCCUUUUUUUUUUUUUUUUUGUCAAUCAAUUCUUCUCCUAUAUAUUUUAGGCAGAAGUAGAAUGUGUACAUAGCAAUUCGUUCAAGGAAAUUAUCUCCCAUUUACUUGGUA